UGGGGUGCCACUGGAGAACUGUGAGCAAAGGAGCAACAUGAUUCGUCCUCUGUUGGAACAGGCUUAUGCUGGCCACUGUGUUAGGAAUAGACUGAAGGGGGACAAGAAGGAAAUCAGGAGACCAGUUAAAAGGUUAUUGCGGUGAUCUGGCUGAAGAUGGUGGUGGUGGCUUGACUUGUUUGUAGUGGUAGCAGUAGGAGGUGAGAAGUCAGAUCCUCGAUAUGUUCUGGAGUUAGAACCAGUAGGAUUUGCUUAUGGAUCAGGCAUGGAGUACGAGAGAGGAGUCAAGGACGAGGCCAAGCGUUUUCAGCCUGAACACAUGGAAGGAUAGGAUUGCCACUGAGCUGGGGAAGACUGGGUGUUAACAGGUGUAGAGGGGAAAAUAAGGAAUUUAGUUCUGGACAUACCUUUGUGUCUCCUGGGUACAUGGAGAAGUCGGCACAGCCAGGUGGAUAUGGAUGUUGAGAGUUCAGGAGACAGGGCAGGGCUAGGGAUAGAAAUUUGGUGGGGGUGUUACCCACAUAUGGACAGUAUAAUAAGCAUGAGACUGGAUGAGAUCACAAGGGAGUGAGUGUAGUUAGAAAAGAGGAAGUCUGAGGCCUGGGCCCUGUGGCCACCAAUAUUUAGAGAUUGAAGAAAUGAGAAGCAACCAAAAAAGCAGACUGAUAAGGACUGGCCAGUUGAGCAAGCAAGAAAACUCGAGACUGUGGUAUCCUUGGGGCCAAGUGAAGACACUGUUUCAAAGAGGAGGGAGGGGUCCGUGGCCACAUGGUGCAGAUGGGUCAAGGAGGAUAAGGGCUGAAAACUGACUCUUGGAUUUAGCAGUGAGGAAGGCGCUAGUGGUCUUGACAAAACAGAGUUUGUGGGGUGGCGAGAGCAAAAUCCUGAUCAGAAUGGAUUUUAUGGGAGGAAGGGCAUGAGAGAACGUAGAUGAGUCUUUUGAGAAGUUUCCCGCAGAGAGGAGUAGAAGAAUGGGGCUGUAACUGGAGGAAGGUACUAGGGUCCUGAGGAUGUUUAUUUCUUUUUCUUAAGGUAGAAGAAACAAAGUACAUUUGAAAAUUAAUAGGAAUGAUCCAGUAGAGAGCAAAAAAAUGAUAGGAGUGAGGAGGUGAAUUGCUGGAGCUCUGUCCUGGAAUAGACCAGAGGAGACAGUGUCUAGAGUACAAAUAGAGGGAUCGGUCGUAGGAGCGGGAACAGUUUAGAAUUAUAGGAGGGGAAUCGGUGUUGAUGGGUGAAGAUGCUGGUAGCUGAGCGUAUGUGAUGGUGAGAGCUUACAGAAGUGAUUUUCUCAUCACUUCAAAUUCCUCAGGAAACUAAGAAGAAAGAAGGUCAACUGAGAGAGGGUGGGGAAGGAGGUGAUAGAAAGGGAAGAUGGUAUGAAAUAGUUACUUAGGACGAGGGUCAGCAAGCUUUUUCCGUAACGGGUCAGAUAAUAAAUACUUCAGCUUUUGCCGGCCGUCAGGUCUCUGUGGCAUCUACUCAACCCUGCCAUUGUUGCUUCACGCAACACGCAGCCAGAGGUGACACGGUGACCAGUGAGUGUGACUGUAGUGUGCUGGCCGCUCUAAGACGGGAGAGUGGAUGGACUGGGUCAGUGUCGUGUGAUCGCCAGGGGGCAUUAGAGGCUCACUGGAGGUUUGUGUUCCUGAACUUACAGUGAGGCCGCGUAGUCUGCUUGUGUCUUCUUUUCCAGCCACAUUUCCAGCUGCGUGGGUGCAGCUGUGGGAUAGAUGGAGAGCUGCGUCCGGGUUGACUUGGUUAAGUAGGAGCUCUGAAGGGGGAUCUAAUGAGUGGUUCAUGUUCGAUGGCAGAGGAGGGAAGUGAGGACAAAAGGGAAGUGAGGGACAGUGAAAGGGGCGAUAGAAUCGAUGGACUAUACAACCAGGUGGUGGGGGAAGAAGAACUCGGAGUCAGGAAAAUAGAGGGAGCGGGCUGCAAAGAUAGGAGGUGAUGGUGGAGUGGGACGCUCGGCACUGAGACCAGAGAGGGGCAGCCAUUACUGGUUGUGACAGUGAGGACGUGAGGUAGGCUGGAGCAGGUAGGGUGGAAUGUCAAGGUUAUUGGAGGGGAGGAACCAAGAGGCCAGGAUACUGGAAGAAUAUCGUAAUCACUGAUAAUUAAAGUAAGAGUAGUGCUAGAGAGUGAUAUUAAGUUUGGAGGUAAAAUCUUAAAGAAAUGAGGCAGCACAGCCCAAGGGUCAGCAGACUGGAAAAAGAAGGGCAAGUGGGAAAGAUAAUCUGAUGACAUGAGAUUCUGAACAUGGCCCUGAAGAACAAAGGACGCUUUCUGGACCUCCAGACCCAGUAGUACCAGGGUCAUGGAAGGUAAAAACAGCCGACACUUGAGAAAGCAGUGUCCUUAGGGGACAGCCAGGUUUCUGUAAAAGCAACAAGGAGGUAAAGGACACAUUCAGAGAAAUGGAUGAGGACAGAGGAGAUCUCGCUAAUGAUGGGACUUAAAUUCCAGAGGGCACAGUAAGGGUUUUAAAAAGUGGAGAAUGGGCAUAGAAUUAGAGAAUUAAAAAAAAAAAAAAA